ensembl:lncRNA
AUGACUAUCCAGAGUUGGGACCAGGAAGCAGAGUUGCAGUCUUACACGCCUCUUUGCAGCUUCUCUCCUCCUCCAACCCCCCCCCCCCAAAAAAAACCCAUCUCCACUGAGACUGUGUCAGCUCCCAAACAGAUAAAAAACAAACUAAAAACCAGCAAUAAACAACUUAAACAUAAAAAAAAAUCACAAAGAAAGAACAAUACAGUAUCCACAUCUGAACCAAAGAGUAAAACAGUGAAAUGUGGAUUAUUAAAUAUUAGGUCUCUCUCCUCCAAGUCUCUUUUAGUACACGACUUAAUAAUUGAUCAACAAAUCGAUUUACUCUGCCUUACAGAAACCUGGUUGCAGCCGGAUGAUUAUGUUAGUUUAAAUGAAUCAACACCCCCGAGUCAUUCUAACUAUCAGAAACCUCGAAGCACAGGCCGAGGGGGCGGUGUGGCAGCAAUUUUUCACACCAGCCUAUUAAUUAACGAAAGACCAAGACAGACUUUUAAUUCAUUUGAAAGCCUGAUGCUUAGCCUCGUCCACCCCAGCUGUAAAACUCAGAAACCAGUCUUACUUGUUAUCAUCUAUCGUCCACCUGGGCCUUACACAGAGUUUCUCUCUGAUUUCUCAGACUUUUUAUCUGAUUUAGUGCUCAGCUCAGAUAAAAUAAUUAUUGUGGGUGAUUUUAACAUCCAUGUAGAUGCUAAAAAUGACAGCCUCAACAUCGCAUUUAAUCUGUUAUUAGACUCAAUUGGCUUCUCUCAAAAUGUAAAAGAACCCACCCACCACUUUAAUCACACUCUAGAUCUUGUUUUAACGUAUGGCAUAGAAACUGAACAUUUAACAGUGUUUCCUGAAAACCCUCUGCUGUCUGAUCAUUUCCUGAUAACAUUUACAUUUACAAUAACUGAUUACACAGCAGUGGAGAGUAGACUUUAUCACAGUAGAUGUCUUUCUGAAAGUGCUGUAACUAAGUUUAAGAAUAUAAUCCACCCACUGUUAUCAUCUUCAAUGCUCUGUACCAACACAGACCAGAGCAGCUACCUGAACGCUACUCCAACAGAGGUUGAUUAUCUUGUUAAUAAUUUUACCUCCUCACUACGUACGACUCUGGAUACUGUAGCUCCUGUGAAAACUAAGGCCUCAAAUCAUAAGUACCUGACUCCGUGGUAUAAUUCUCAAACACGUAGCCUAAAGCAGAUGACUCGUAAGCUGGAGAGGAAAUGGCGUGUCACAAAUUUAGAGGAUCAUCAUUUAGCCUGGAGAAAUAGUUUGCUGCUUUAUAAGAAAGCCCUCUGCAAAGCCAGAACAUCUUACUAUUCAUCACUGAUUGAAGAAAAUAAGAACAACCCCAGGUUUCUCUUCAGCACUGUAGCCAGGCUGACAAAAAGUCAGAGCACUGUUGAGCCAACCAUCCCUUUAACGUUAACUAGUAAUGACUUCAUGAACUUCUUCACAAAUAAAAUUUUUAUCAUUAGAGAAAAAAUUACCAAUAAUCAUCCCACAGAUGUAAUAUCAUCUACAGCUACUUUUAGUACCAUCAAUGUUAAGUUAGACUCUUUUUCUCCAAUUGAUCUUUCUGAGUUAACUUCAAUAAUUACUUCCUCCAAACCAUCAACUUGUCUUUUAGACCCCAUUCCUACAAAACUGCUCAAAGAAGUCCUGCCAUUAAUUAAUUCUUCAAUCUCUAAUAAUCGGCUAUGUACCACAGGCCUUCAAGCUGGCUGUAGUUAA